rnacentral:rRNA from 1 species
AGCGAACGCUGGCGGCAUGCUUAACACAUGCAAGUCGCACGGUUGGGGCUUUCGGGCCCUGGCAGUGGCGGACGGGUGAGUAUCGCGUAGGGAUUUGUCGUUGGGUGGGGAGUAACCGCGGGAAACGUGCGGCUAAUACCGCAUGACGCCUGUGGGCCGAAAGGUGUGCAAGCACUGCCUGACGAGGAGCCUGCGUCCGAUUAGCUAGUUGGUUGGGUAAUGGCNGACCAAGGC